rnacentral:tRNA from 1 species
GAGGGUAUAGCUCAGCAGAGUGCAUGCUUAGCAUGCACAAGGUCCUGGGUUCAAUCCCCAGUACCUCCA